rnacentral:rRNA from 1 species
GGUUAAGCGACUAAGCGUACACGGUGGAUGCCCUGGCAGUCAGAGGCGAUGAAGGACGUGCUAAUCUGCGAUAAGCGUCGGUGAGGUGAUAUGAACCGUUAUAACCGGCGAUUUCCGAAUGGGGAAACCCAGUGUGAUUCGUCACACUAUCAUUAACUGAAUCCAUAGGUUAAUGAGGCGAACCGGGGGAACUGAAACAUCUAAGUACCCCGAGGAAAAGAAAUCAACCGAGAUUCCCCCAGUAGCGGCGAGCGAACGGGGAGGAGCCCAGAGCCUGAAUCAGUGUGUGUGUUAGUGGAAGCGUCUGGAAAGGCGCGCGAUACAGGGUGACAGCCCCGUACACAAAAAUGCACAUGCUGUGAGCUCGAUGAGUAGGGCGGGACACGUGGUAUCCUGUCUGAAUAUGGGGGGACCAUCCUCCAAGGCUAAAUACUCCUGACUGACCGAUAGUGAACCAGUACCGUGAGGGAAAGGCGAAAAGAACCCCGGCGAGGGGAGUGAAAAAGAACCUGAAACCGUGUACGUACAAGCAGUGGGAGCCUCUUAAUGGGGUGACUGCGUACCUUUUGUAUAAUGGGUCAGCGACUUAUAUUCUGUAGCAAGGUUAACCGAAUAGGGGAGCCGAAGGGAAACCGAGUCUUAACUGGGCGUUAAGUUGCAGGGUAUAGACCCGAAACCCGGUGAUCUAGCCAUGGGCAGGUUGAAGGUUGGGUAACACUAACUGGAGGACCGAACCGACUAAUGUUGAAAAAUUAGCGGAUGACUUGUGGCUGGGGGUGAAAGGCCAAUCAAACCGGGAGAUAGCUGGUUCUCCCCGAAAGCUAUUUAGGUAGCGCCUCGUGAAUUCAUCUCCGGGGGUAGAGCACUGUUUCGGCAAGGGGGUCAUCCCGACUUACCAACCCGAUGCAAACUGCGAAUACCGGAGAAUGUUAUCACGGGAGACACACGGCGGGUGCUAACGUCCGUCGUGAAGAGGGAAACAACCCAGACCGCCAGCUAAGGUCCCAAAGUCAUGGUUAAGUGGGAAACGAUGUGGGAAGGCCCAGACAGCCAGGAUGUUGGCUUAGAAGCAGCCAUCAUUUAAAGAAAGCGUAAUAGCUCACUGGUCGAGUCGGCCUGCGCGGAAGAUGUAACGGGGCUAAACCAUGCACCGAAGCUGCGGCAGCGACACUAUGUGUUGUUGGGUAGGGGAGCGUUCUGUAAGCCUGUGAAGGUGGCCUGUGAGGGUUGCUGGAGGUAUCAGAAGUGCGAAUGCUGACAUAAGUAACGAUAAAGCGGGUGAAAAGCCCGCUCGCCGGAAGACCAAGGGUUCCUGUCCAACGUUAAUCGGGGCAGGGUGAGUCGACCCCUAAGGCGAGGCCGAAAGGCGUAGUCGAUGGGAAACAGGUUAAUAUUCCUGUACUUGGUGUUACUGCGAAGGGGGGACGGAGAAGGCUAUGUUGGCCGGGCGACGGUUGUCCCGGUUUAAGCGUGUAGGCUGGUUUUCCAGGCAAAUCCGGAAAACCAAGGCUGAGGCGUGAUGACGAGGCACUACGGUGCUGAAGUGACAAAUGCCCUGCUUCCAGGAAAAGCCUCUAAGCAUCAGGUAACAUCAAAUCGUACCCCAAACCGACACAGGUGGUCAGGUAGAGAAUACCAAGGCGCUUGAGAGAACUCGGGUGAAGGAACUAGGCAAAAUGGUGCCGUAACUUCGGGAGAAGGCACGCUGAUAUGUAGGUGAAGCGACUUGCUCGUGGAGCUGAAAUCAGUCGAAGAUACCAGCUGGCUGCAACUGUUUAUUAAAAACACAGCACUGUGCAAACACGAAAGUGGACGUAUACGGUGUGACGCCUGCCCGGUGCCGGAAGGUUAAUUGAUGGGGUUAGCGGUAACGCGAAGCUCUUGAUCGAAGCCCCGGUAAACGGCGGCCGUAACUAUAACGGUCCUAAGGUAGCGAAAUUCCUUGUCGGGUAAGUUCCGACCUGCACGAAUGGCGUAAUGAUGGCCAGGCUGUCUCCACCCGAGACUCAGUGAAAUUGAACUCGCUGUGAAGAUGCAGUGUACCCGCGGCAAGACGGAAAGACCCCGUGAACCUUUACUAUAGCUUGACACUGAACAUUGAGCCUUGAUGUGUAGGAUAGGUGGGAGGCUUUGAAGUGUGGACGCCAGUCUGCAUGGAGCCGACCUUGAAAUACCACCCUUUAAUGUUUGAUGUUCUAACGUUGGCCCCUAAUCGGGGUUGCGGACAGUGUCUGGUGGGUAGUUUGACUGGGGCGGUCUCCUCCUAAAGAGUAACGGAGGAGCACGAAGGUUGGCUAAUCCUGGUCGGACAUCAGGAGGUUAGUGCAAUGGCAUAAGCCAGCUUGACUGCGAGCGUGACGGCGCGAGCAGGUGCGAAAGCAGGUCAUAGUGAUCCGGUGGUUCUGAAUGGAAGGGCCAUCGCUCAACGGAUAAAAGGUACUCCGGGGAUAACAGGCUGAUACCGCCCAAGAGUUCAUAUCGACGGCGGUGUUUGGCACCUCGAUGUCGGCUCAUCACAUCCUGGGGCUGAAGUAGGUCCCAAGGGUAUGGCUGUUCGCCAUUUAAAGUGGUACGCGAGCUGGGUUUAGAACGUCGUGAGACAGUUCGGUCCCUAUCUGCCGUGGGCGCUGGAGAACUGAGGGGGGCUGCUCCUAGUACGAGAGGACCGGAGUGGACGCAUCACUGGUGUUCGGGUUGUCAUGCCAAUGGCACUGCCCGGUAGCUAAAUGCGGAAGAGAUAAGUGCUGAAAGCAUCUAAGCACGAAACUUGCCCCGAGAUGAGUUCUCCCUGAGACUUAGAGUCUCCUGAAGGAACGUUGAAGACGACGACGUUGAUAGGCCGGGUGUGUAAGCGCAGCGAUGCGUUGAGCUAACCGGUACUAAUGAACCGUGAGGCUUAACCUU